rnacentral:piRNA from 1 species
UGUCACAUAGGUUGAAGAUCAAUUUAUUGA